rnacentral:lncRNA from 1 species
AUGACCCUUGAAGGGGACAAGAAUUCUUGCUUCCUGAUGCUGGCGACGGUCUCACCAAUUCCUCUGACAUUACUAACCCAGAAGUCUAAGCAGAUGAGUAAUCAAACUCAUCGACUCCUCCCAGUGCCCACGUCAUUCUGCCACUUGGAGCGUGGCCCUCACGGUCCCAUGCCGGCGCUGUGUUCUAGACGGGUGCGGGGAGGAUGGGCACACAGCUGUAGAGUCGGCCCCGGAAGGAUCCUGGGAAGCACACGCUCCGAACAGAGUCCUGAAGAAGGAAAAGUGACUCACCCAAGGUCCCGCGGCUGGGUCGGCAUCUUCCAGCCCCUGGAAAGACCCCAGCCCAUCUUCGGUGCGCACGACCCGGCACCCUCGUGCCCACCUCGAGCGGCCAAGUGCAGAAGAGAGUUACGUGCCCGUGCCAUGGUCACCGGGCCAUCAGACUCUGCCCGAUUGGAACAGUGCCAGCUACACCACCGUGGUGGUAGUACCCAAACCCAGCACUCAGCGAGCCGCUCACGUGCCUCUGGCUACAGGCUGCAGAACUCUGGGGGGGGGGGGGGGGGGGGCCUGGGGGGGAGGGGGCGAGGUGGGGUGAGGAGGGGCAGAGAGGCUCUCCCUGCCUGACGGUCGCAGUGUUUUUCAGCCUCAGGAGCAAAUCGCCGAGUCAGUACUUUGGUCCUGGCCGAGCUCAGGAGAGCCCUUCCCAGAAGCCUUAGCCUUCUGGGUUUUGUUGGGGCACCACAUGGGGACGUUUUGCCGCCCCCCAGACCCAUCUCUGGUGGGUUUUUUUAUUUUUUGUCUUGUUGUAAGAUUUUAUUUGUUUCAGUAAUCUCUGCGCCCAACAUGGGGCCCGAACCCGCAACUCCAAGAUCAAGAGUCCCCUGCUGCGCUGACGGGAGACCCCCCCCGCCCCCCGCCCCGCCAGCUCUGUUGAUAGAAGUGGCCUUGGUGUCCAGGGAUUGGCAGCUCCCGAGGCCAAGAGCUGCCGUGAGCAGGGGACGAGGGCGGCGGGCCAGGCCAGGGAGAGAGUCGUCGGGCUCUGUGCUGAUGCCUCGGAGCCCGGGACCAGCUUCGGAUUCUGUGUCUCCCUCUCUCUCCGCCCCUCCCCUGCUCACGCUCCGUCUCUCUUUCCUUCAAAAAUAAAUGAACAUUAAAAAAAAAUAAAAAGAAAGUG